rnacentral:sRNA from 12 species
ACUAUAUAAAGAUAUGUGACUACAAGAUAGGUUAGUAUCUCCCUUUAUAGUAUUUUAAAAACGAAACUUGUUGUUGUUUUUGUUGCGUAACUGUAUUUGAAUUAUAAUAGUAAGACUAUAGAUGUUAUUUGAGUACAUUGAAACAAGUUCAAGGCAAGUGGAUAUAGGGUAACCGUCCGUCCUUUACAUAGGUAUAAAAGAGAUCUGAAAGGUUGUUUAUAAUAAUUUAUAAAUUUUAGUGGCGGUGUU